AAGGCGGGGCCACACGCUAACCAGGAAGUGCUAACAGGUAGCCGGCGCUAGCCGUAACCUGAACUCCCCUUCCACUGUUUAUUAGCUCCUGUGUCACAGUGCUGACAGGUAAAAGCAUAUGCUUGGAACUCUGACACAUUUCCCCAAUGUAGCCGAGCUACGAGUGGAGCCCUGCUGGCCGCGUUAACCCGCGAGCUGCGGGCAACACGCCAGACAGGCCAACCGGCCGGAAUGCUACUCGCAGGCCGGCUAACGAUAGCGGGCAUGAACCGUAGCAUAAUUCCCCACUGUUUAUUUCCACAGUGUUAAGCAGGCCAACAGCGAACGUUUGGAACGCUGAAGUGGUAUCCCCUCUGUGUUAACACACUUAGCAGCCGAGCAGCACAGUGCAAAGACGACAGCGUAUGCUUGAAUGCUGAAGCCGUAUCCCCUCUGUGUUAACACGUAGCAGCCGAGCUGCACAGUGCCAAGGCGACAGCGUAAGCUUGAACGCAGAAGCCGUGUCCCUGCCGUGUUUCCACACUGUAGCCGAGCUACUCGCUAGCCGGCAGCUGCACAGCAUGGUCCGACCAGCGCAUAAGCCUGCUUUGUUUUCGAGGCGAUAUGCCGGGGAAGGGGGACCAACCAAGGGGAAGCAAGCUAAGGGAUACCGGGGCUACCAGGGAACCUAGAAGGGAGAAAUACAUCGCCCACGGAGGAUGCCGAAGCACGCUCCAAUAGACGCGCACACACAGUACUCUCAAGCUUUGAGCUUGGGUGUAGAAGCUGCUGCCUCUGCACUGAAACAUCAACCAUCCUGGGUCCGUACAUCCUGUGUGGCAGUUUGGUUUAAGGCUUCAGUCUGCAGUCAUUCACACAUCUGAGAGUGAGUCGGGUGCUUAUCCUCGGUCACACCAUGUUUGUCACUGUGUGUAAAUAUUAUUGCGUUAUACAGAUGUGAUGUUGAGAAUUACUCAUUUCAUUCUACCUCUUUAGCCCACUUCUUCUCUCCUUUCAAUUUUCUUCCUGUGGACACGUGGGCUGUCUUCAACUCCUUCCAGCUCUUCAUGGUAUACAAGAGGUUUUAUUGUCCCUGGCAGCCGCUGAAAACUGCUCAGCAUCUUCUUUGAUUUAUGUCCUUCAAAUCCAAAACCUUGACUUCUGUCUAAAACUUUAUCAUCUUUACUUUAUUUAACCAGUUAAUGCCAAAUCUUCUUUUAACAUUGUUUAAGAAGAGUUUUUCAUAACUCUGAUCUCUCAUGUUACUCAGAUUUUAAACCCCAACAUUUAUCAUCUGUAAUUUAUCAAAAUAAAAGCCUAAAAAAUGUUUACACUUUCAGCAGGAGAGACAAAUAAAAAACUGUGCUGGGCGGUGCCAAACCGAGGUAUAAAACUAUUUACACGACUCACUAGAACAAAACUUAGUAAGAAUAAAGAGUGGGGAAACUGGUUCUUACGCGCUGUCAAGCAAUCUGUCUGUUGCCAUUCUAAUUCUCCCUCACCUACAAAAUGAAAUUUGAAUCAUUAGAAUGAAAUUUCAAUUAAUAUUUCAAACCUUUAUUGAUUCACUGACACAUGAAUAAAAUACAAUAGGAUAAAAUAAUUUUUCACAUUUUGCUCACAGCAGUGACAAUAACAGCCAGUAAACUGGAGCUCAUUACUUUUUUUUUGUGUGUGACUGCACCACACUGGCACAAAGCCUUCAGAUUACAAAAACUAAAACAAACAGUAAACUAAGUUUAACAGUGGAAACAGCAAAAAUCCUACAUUAAUAAUAAUCAAGUCAUGUUUUCUGAGAACAUUAGCGAAGCAUAGACACCCUUUUUUGUUAUUGUUAAUUUUAAUAAUAAAACUGGAUAAUUUGGAUAA